GUGAGGAAUAUUGGUCAAUGGACGGAAGUCUGAACCAGCCAUGCCGCGUGAAGGAUGAAGGCGUUCUGCGUUGUAAACUUCUUUUAUCAGAGAAGAAACCACUGAUUUCUAUUAGUGUUGACGGUAUCUGAUGAAUAAGCACCGGCUAACUCCGUGCCAGCAGCCGCGGUAAUACGGAGGGUGCAAGCGUUAUCCGGAUUUACUGGGUUUAAAGGGUGUGUAGGCGGGCUAUUAAGUCAGGGGUGAAAUCCCGGGGCUCAAACUCGGAACUGCCUUUGAUACUAUUAGUCUUGAAUUAUGUUGAGGUUGGCGGAAUAUAACAUGUAGCGGUGAAAUGCAUAGAUAUGUUAUAGAACACCGAUUGCGAAGGCAGCUGGCUAAACAUAUAUUGACGCUGAGGCACGAAAGCGUGGGUAGCGAACAGGAUUAGAUAUCCCAGUAGUCC
rnacentral:rRNA from 1 species